rnacentral:rRNA from 1 species
GACGAACCGUGCGAACGUUAUUCGGAAUCACUGGGCUUAAAGGGUGCGUAGGCUGCGAGGAGGGUGGGGUGUGAAAUCCCUCGGCUUAACCGAGGAAUUGCGCUCCAAACCGCCUUGCUGGAGUGAGACAGAGGUGAGCGGAACUAAUGGUGGAGCGGUGAAAUGCGUUGAUAUCAUUAGGAACACCAGAGGCGAAGGCGGCUCACUGGUCCGGAACUGACGCUGAGGUGCGAAAGCGUGGGGAGCAAACAGG